GUUGGUGCAUGGCCGUUCUUAGUUCGUGGAAUGAUUUGUCUGGUUAAUUCCGAUAACGAACGUGACUCAAUCAUAUUAACUAGAUACCUAUCAGCUGUUGAAAUGCUGAAGCUGUCAGCGCUGGUAUGCGGUGAGCAAUUAUCGUGUGCUUUGUGUUUGGCAGUGGAGUUUCACCUGAUAGUUUGGUCCUAGCUCUUUCAAGGGGCUAGUGGCUCUAUCUGCUUAAUAGGACAAUUUGUGUUUAGCAAAAUGAGAUUGAGCAAUAACAGGUCUGUGAUGCCCUUAGAUGGUCAU
rnacentral:rRNA from 1 species